CGCGUCCCCAAGUCAGGCGUGAAU
rnacentral:rRNA from 1 species